CUACAUCUACCCUGUAGAUCCGAAUUUGUUUUGUCAUUUUGCUUCUAAACGGCAAAUUCGGUUCUAGAGAGGUUUGUGUG
rfam:Asian citrus Psyllid, Diaphorina citri - Florida Strain, whole genome shotgun sequence.